ACGGAGCAAGGUCCUUGGAAGUGCUCAGUGGUGAUGAGAGAGUAGAAGGGCGCUGCUGAGAGUCAAGGAAGGAGGAGAAAAAAGGAGGGAAUUCUACAGGCAGCUGACCCGAGAGGUUUACAGCAUGGAAUGGGAGGAGCCCACUUGCUCUGCUACUGCAAAAAGAGACCCUGGUCUUCUGAGAAUGUGGAAACUGACUAGCGGAUGGGCCAGGCUGACUUAAGUCUGCCUGUUUCCCAGAAGCAGAGUCCUUCUCCAGAAGGCAAGGUGGGCCAAAAGGCUGAGCAUCCCGUCCUGGACCCCAGUGCCCUGCAGAAGAGGCUGAGGACUUGGGCCAGUGAAGUCCUGUAAUAUUUAUUGAGUGCCUUCCUUGUGCCUGGUACUGGGGAUACUUUGGUGAACAAAGCAGACACAUCCUGCCCUCAUAGAGCUUAAUUUCUAGUGGAAAAUGAAUAAGACCAAAGGACAAAGAAGAAAGGAGACAACAGUAGCAGGUACUGUCCUAGAUGCCCAGUGGGGAGAAGGACUAGCCCCAACCUUUCUGGAGCUUUUGCUCUUGUGUAAGAUCAAGCCUGUGGAGCAGAGAGGCUUGGUGGGGACCAGAGGGCUGGGAGUCCAUACCAAGGCCAUUGUGGCCUUUCUGGAUGUGUAGCCUUCCCUCCACCCUCCCAGGAGACAUGGCUGGGCCGGCACCCAUUACUGUUCACAGAGAAGAAGGUCAUAAGUGUGCAGGGUACAAGGAGGCCCUGGGGCUGCUGAGUAGUGAGGGGAGAAGCCUCAGUCCAGCGCUAUCUGCUCCCAAAGACCAGAUGCCGCCGCUUCCUUCACCCCUCCCCCCUCCUCAGGAAAGUUCUGCUUCCCCGCUUUGAUUCUCCAUCAUCCUGGGGAUGGAGUGGAGUGGAAUCUGCUUUGGUUGUGGCCAGGUUCCUGUGGAGCAUCAGAAGCCAAAGUCACACUGGUCUGGGAAUGUGUCUAAGGUCAGUGCUAAAGCCCAGCUCUACUGCCUUCCCUGGGGCUCCUUCAAAACACGGCCUCCAGGUCCACCUGCCCUGGGCUUUUCUGGCCGCCCCGCUCCAUUCAACGUUGACUCCCGCUGCAUGCUGAGCAAGUGUGCUGGGCACUGGGGACACAGAAACAUGAAGCACGUGCCCAGUGUGCCUGGGAUGGACACUUGAUGGUUUGACGGAGUAAGAGCGGGGGCCUGAGGAGGCCUAAGGUCAGGAACACUUAACUCUGAGAGGGAGAUGUGCCCAGACUUAAACUGAUGCUAUUUUCUCUUUAAGGAUGCUCCCGCAGGGCAGGUCCAUUGUGGUACCCAGUGCCUAGCACAAGAGCCUGACACACAGCAGAUGCUUGUUGUAUCUUUGUUGAGUAAAUGACUAAACACAGCCAGGCAGUAAAUGUGGGUAAGCCAUUGGGCUUGCAGCUCUCUCAUGCCCUGGGUUGUGUGACCGAGAUAUUUUCCCCUCCAGAGGGAGUUCCAAAGAGGUACAGCAACCACCACUGGUUUGGCAUGGAGGAUCUCACUAUUAGUGACCUCUGAGGAGUCUUGGUUCCAGAUGUGAUGGGCAGUGGAGCUAAUGAAACUGAGGCUUCAGGACUCCUCUCUUGACCGGGCCCUUCCAAGGCUGGGCAUUCUCUGCUGGGGGUGCAGGAUGUCUGAUCACCUGUGCCCUGGUGGUGUCAGCAUGACCCCAUGUAUUGUACACAGAGCUCCCCAACACCUACCCCUGGGGGACAUCACCAAACGUGAACCCUGAUUUUAAAGCCCAUGGAGAAGACUCUGAAGGAGACGCCACGAAGAUCCAGCCUUUACUGUCACCCUGCUCCUUGGGUACCUGUCUGGCAGGUGGGAGUGAUGGUGAUGACUGGACUGAGCUGGGCCAGAUGCCCGGGGAACAACCUCUGGGCAUAAAGCACCAGCUGAGCAGGAAACUUCACGGGAAGUUUUAUGUGUGGUAUUACUAGUAACAAGCUGUGAAGCCAAUUUUUUCAAAUUACCAACAACACAAAACAUAUUUUGAUAACACAUGCCAGAGGGAAAAUGGAAUUAUCUUUCCUCUCUUUAGAAAAUCCAUAUUAUAUAAAUAGAUGGUCAAACAGGGUGCAGUCAGAAAUGUUAAAAUAUAGGGGAAAGAAAGUAUCAGUAUCCUUGAGGUGUGUUAGAGUGCAAUUAUUAUUAAUGAAAAUAUUAUAGUAUUCUUUUGGAUUUUGUGAUGUUUGUGUUCACAUUUUUAAAAUUUACAAUUUGUGAUUUCUAGUUCUAAAUACUUUUAUACCUGAUUUUAUAUUUUGUAUAUUUUUUUCUCGCACUGCCUCUCCUUCCCCAAAUUAGAUAAGCUUCAGGAUCUGCACAACAUGGAUAUGUCAGUAUGGUUCAUCACUGCUGUAGUCAUUGCUUAUUUUUUUAUGUAGGUGUUUUAAUAAACACCCUUGAACCUACCAUGCAAUACCAAGAAAUGAAACACCGGUAACAUAUGUAUUUCUCCCAUCCCAUCUUCCUGCCUCCCCCUCCCGAGUCAACCACUGUCCCGAAUCUUGUAUUCAUCAUUCCCUUACAUUUAAAAAUGUGUUCACCAGGGCUUCCCUGGUGGCGCAGUGGUUGAGAGUCUGCCUGCCAAUGCAGGGGACACGGGUUCGAGCCCUGGUCUGGGAGGAUCCCACAUGCCGCGGAGCAACUGGGCCCGUGAGCCACAACUACUGAGCCUGUGCUCCGCAACAAGAGAGGCCACGAUAAUGAGAGGCCCGCGCACCGCGAUGAAGAAUGGCCCCCACUUGCCGCAACUAGAGAAAGCCCUCACACAGAAACGAAGACCCAACACAGCCAUAAAAAUAAAUAAAUAAAUAAACCCAAAGUUAAAAAAAAAAAAAAUUU